GCCUGCAUGAAGCCGGAACUGCUAGUAAUGGCAGGUCAGCAUACUGCCGUGAAUACGUUCCCGGGCCUUGUACACACCGCCCGUCACACCAUGAGAGUUGGGGAUACCCGAAGCCUGUGAGCCAACUUUUAGAGGCAGCAGUCGAAGGUAGAAUCAAUGAUUGGGGUGAAGUCGUAACAAGGUAGC
rnacentral:rRNA from 1 species